GACGAACGCUGGCGGCGUGCUUAACACAUGCAAGUCGAACGGACGAGUGAGAUAAGUUUACUUAACUCACAAGUUAGUGGCGGACGGGUGAGUAACACGUGGAUAAUCUACCUGCAACACCGGGAUAACGCUGUGAAAACGGUGCUAAUACCGGAUACGUUCCCUUGUGCGCAUGUAUGAGGGAAGAAAGCUCAGGCGGUUGCAGAUGAGUCCGCGGCUGAUUAGCUAGUUGGUGAGGUAAAGGCUCACCAAGGCGAUGAUCAGUAGCCGGCCUGAGAGGGUGAACGGCCACACUGGGACUGAGACACGGCCCAGACUCCUACGGGAGGCAGCAGUGGGGAAUCUUCCGCAAUGGGCGCAAGCCUGACGGAGCAACGCCGCGUGGGUGAAGAAGGCCUUCGGGUUGUAAACGCCGUGUCUUAGUGGGAAGAAGUCAGUGACGGUACCAGUAGGAGGAAGCCACGGCUAACUACGUCGCCAGCAGGCCGCGGUAAUACGUACUUAC
rnacentral:rRNA from 1 species